rnacentral:rRNA from 1 species
CCUACGGGUGGCAGCAGUGAGGAAUAUUGGUCAAUGGACGAGAGUCUGAACCAGCCAAGUAGCGUGAAGGAUGACUGCCCUAUGGGUUGUAAACUUCUUUUAUAUGGGAAUAAAAUGUUCCACGUGUGGGAUUUUGUAUGUACCAUAUGAAUAAGGAUCGGCUAACUCCGUGCCAGCAGCCGCGGUAAUACGGAGGAUCCGAGCGUUGUCCGGAUUUAUUGGGUUUAAAGGGAGCGUAGGUGGUUUGUUAAGUCAGUUGUGAAAGUUUGCGUCUCAACCGUAAAAUUGCAGUUGAAACUGGCAGUCUUGAGUACAGUAGAGGUGGGCGGAAUUCGUGGUGUAGCGGUGAAAUGCUUAGAUAUCACGAAGAACUCCGAUUGCGAAGGCAGUUCACUGGACUGCAACUGACACUGAGGCUCGAAAGUGUGGGUAUCAAACAGGAUUAGAUACCCGGGUAGUC